CAAGCAGCCCCACCAGGGACCAGGAGGAGGGCUCCCUCCCGGCAGCUCCAUGCCACAAGAUGUAAAAUAAUCCCCUCGGCUCAGAAAAACACAUUUUAUGGCCGUCUGACUCACUUCCCACAAAGCUAGGUCCACCACCACCCCCCACCCCAACAUGUAGAGCUUUUGUUUUGAAAAAUAAAAAAGAAAUGCUGAAAAUUUCUAGAUGACUUUUGGACAUAGAUUGUUCCUUUCCUUACCCUCGUCCCAGGGCCCCCUCACCUAAUUUCCCAAACCUUGGCUACCAGAGCCCCGGGAGGACCCAGUCCAAGUGGGUGUGGAAGGACUCUGGAGUCGACGGGCAGUGCAGCCCGCAGGACCCAGCUGGCGGUGCCUGCUGGCCACUGAGAGAGGUCCUGCAGGCAAGUCCAGGCUUCAGGGAACCCGAUCCUUUGAGUUCCAGGUCCCACGAGGGCCCCUCCAGUGCCCGUCAGUCUCGCCAGUUCGCUUCCAGGGACGCAGGAAACACAGGCAGACCCCAGGGCUGUAGGAGUUGCCCUGGUGACCUGGUGACGGCUGACCCUGGAUCCUGGUUCUCAGGGCUCCGGAUUCCCAUUUGAGCACAGGAAACAGCUGUGGGAAGCAGCCUGGGAAAGGCCUCCUUUUCCAUCCCCAGAGCUCACACAAGAUAGCCGUGUCUGCGUGUUCACGUGCGUAUGUGUGUCUACAUGUGCGUGUGGUGUGUGCAAUAUGCCUGAAGCCAUCUGCAUCCAGGACCAUGGACUACCUGGUGUCAUAAAGGCAGUCUGAGCUCCAGAACAAAGCCUCUCCCCGAUUCCAGCCCCAUGAGACCAGCACUUGGCCCUGGUAACCCUCCUAUCCCACAAUGGAGCAGAAGAGGCAGUCUCUUCUUGGGUUGCCCCCACCCAGGUGGUCCUUGAGCUCCCAGGAACCGCACAGUCCCAGGCUGGGGGAGAGCCUGAAUGACCAGAGACCCCUAUCCCAGCUUCAGACCUCUGCAGUAGGAAGAAAAUGAAAGAGCUCCCGAGUGGGCCACAGUGUGUUUCUUGCAUGCAAAGCUCAGCAUGCAUGUGAAUGUGUGCACACGGGCAAAUAGGAGCAUUCACCUCCGUCCCUAGCCAAUGAGCUUCAGCCUGCCUGCCUCAGCCGCCAUUCACCCAUCAUCCUCGACGGCUGGCUGAGGGUUCUG
rnacentral:lncRNA from 13 species